rnacentral:sRNA from 1 species
GCUCUUGGGCCCUGUGGACAAAGGGCACGAUGUGACCUUCUACAAGACGUGGUACCGCAGCUCGAGGGGCGAGGUGCAGACCUGCUCAGAGCGCCGGCCCAUCCGCAACCUCACGUUCCAGGACCUUCACCUGCACCAUGGAGGCCACCAGGCUGCCAACACCAGCCACGACCUGGCUCAGCGCCACGGGCUGGAGUCGGCCUCUGACCACCAUGGCAACUUCUCCAUCACCAUGCGCAACCUGACCCUGCUGGAUAGCGGCCUCUACUGCUGUCUGGUGGUGGAGAUCAGGCACCACCACUCGGAGCACAGGGUCCACGGUGCCAUGGAGCUGCAGGUGCAGACAGGCAAAGAUGCACCAUCCAACUGCGUGGUGUACCCAUCCUCCUCCCAGGAGAGUGAAAGUAAGGGACCAUCCUCUUGCCCCUUUUGGGUUCUCUGUUCUCUUCUGUCCUCAUCCUGUACCCAGACCCUGUUUGGAACUCUGGCCUCAUCACCCCAAGCCCUCAGAACCCCCCGGUCCUCCUCCUCUGCUGCUGCACAUCCCUUCUGCUUCCUCCUUUGUGCAGUCCCCAGAAGCCCACUCCCCUUCCAUCUGCUCUGGAGUCUCUGCUCCUCUUGACUCUCUGGGGUGGCUGUGCCUUGGCAGUGACCUUUGGCCAGGGGAAGUGCCUCAGGACAGGCACUGGGUGGCCCAGGCAGCUAAGUGCCGCCCUGCCCACCAGCCCCCUAUGGCUUGGGAAGGCUGGGGGUCCUCUUGGCCUAGAAUUCAACUACUUCAGAUUUC